AUGGCGCGCACGAAGCAGACGGCGCGGAAGUCGACGGGCGGCAAGGCGCCCCGCAAGCAGCUGGCCACCAAGGCUGCCCGCAAGAGCGCGCCGGCCACGGGCGGCGUCAAGAAGCCGCACCGCUACCGGCCCGGCACGGUGGCGCUGCGCGAGAUCCGGCGCUACCAGAAGUCCACGGAGCUGCUGAUCCGCAAGCUGCCCUUCCAGCGCCUGGUGCGCGAGAUCGCGCAGGACUUCAAGACCGACCUGCGCUUCCAGAGCUCGGCCGUCAUGGCGCUGCAGGAGGCCAGCGAGGCCUACCUGGUGGGGCUCUUCGAGGACACCAACCUGUGCGCCAUCCACGCCAAGCGCGUCACCAUCAUGCCCAAGGACAUCCAGCUGGCCCGCCGCAUCCGCGGAGAGCGCGCCUGAGCUGUCGGCAGACGGAAGUUUCAGACCAUCGAAAACCCAAAGGCUCUUUUAAGAGCCACCACAACGUCAUUAAGGAGCUGUAAAAUCCUAAUUAUGUGUAAGAAGUGAUGGUUUUGGGUGGCUUAAAGUCGAGAGGAUCUUGCGCGUCAAGGGAGCCUGAGAUAAAAGAAUGCUGCCAAGGCAAAGCUGGAUGCGAGCAAGAGCUCUGUGCUGAGCAGCUGAGGACUGGCUUGACAGCUGCUGUUGGUAAUUAAGGUGCAUUUGCAGGUGAUUUUAGAUGCUCAGCAAGAUACUUGGCUAGGACUGUUCCUGGCCCUUUAUCAUCCUCCAUGGAUGAACUCGCUCAAAUUAAAAUCAUGGCCUGGAAGAAUGUUCUUAUCAGUCCAACAGGUAAAACAGAGCAUCACUACUGGCAUUCUGCUGAAAUUCUUCAUUUCAUCCAAAUACAUAAAAGGUCUGAUGACAGCAUCUUUCUAGAACAAAAAAAAAAAAAAAAAAAAAAAAUUGAAUCAGUCCUACUUGACAGCUAUUAGUUUCUGAAAAAAUCUGAACAGAUAAAUAUCCAUAUGAAAGCAAGGUUCAAAUGAGAACUUACUACUUAGAGUAAGUAUUUUGUAAAGGUGCUUUCCAUGCAGGCCAGCAUGCAAAGAUAGGUCUAAACAUGUUUCAAUCUGCAAGUCCCUCUUGAGGGCUUCUUCACCAUCUGAAUCACCUGUUCAUUCCACCAAAGUCAAGUUUGAACUUGGCCAACCACACCUCCCUGCAGGCCUGGCCAUCACUGCUCUGCCCUCUCCUCUCCUUCAGGUCACAUUCUACCUUCAGCCUGGGCCCCAGCACGUGUCAGAUUGUAGAUGUGCAAACACCAUGGUCACAACACUAUCCACAUUUAUAAAAAUUUUAUAUUAUAUAUUAGAAAGCACUUUGUCAGCUACUCCCAUGAUGGCAUUAAUUACACUGGCCACAAUAACAGGGUCUGACCCUAGGAUCCUGCUAAUUAAUGCCCUUGUCCUAGUGAAUGUUUUCAAUUUGUGUUUCAUUGGUUCUCAGGUUUCAGCUUGAGUUGGGUGUCUCUGAAGGGUGACCACUGCCCCAAAAAUUAAACUUUAAUCCCACACGGGGCACCCAGCACUCAAUUCCCAAGUCCAUCACUUGUUUCUGGUCAGUUGUCUGUUUUGUUUUAGGAGUUGU